rnacentral:rRNA from 1 species
CCUACGGGUGGCAGCAGUGGGGAAUAUUGCACAAUGGGGGAAACCCUGAUGCAGCGACGCCGCGUGAGUGAAGAAGGAAUUCGUUAUGUAAAGCUCUAUCAGUAGGGAAGAAAAUGACGGUACCAGAAGAAGAAGCUCCGGCUAACUACGUGCCAGCAGCCGCGGUAAUACGUAGGGGCAAGCGUUAUACGGUUUUACUGGGGGUAAAGGGGGCGUAGGCGGGCGGGCAAGUCUGAAGUGAAAGGCGGGGGCUCAACCCGCGAACUGCGCUUGAAACUGCACGGCUUGAGUGCAGGAGAGGUAAGUGGAAUUCCUAGUGUAGCGGUGAAAUGCGUAGAUAUUAGGAGGAACACCAGUGGCGAAGGCGGGUUACUGGACAUUAACUGACGUUGAGGCACGAAGGCGAGGGGAGCGAACGGGAUUAGAUACCCCUGUAGUC